CCUACGGGAGGCAGCAGUAGGGAAUAUUGCUCAAUGGGGGAAACCCUGAAGCAGCAACGCCGCGUGGAGGAUGAAGGUUUUAGGAUUGUUAACUCCUUUUGUGAGAGAAGAUAAUGACGGUAUCCCACGAAUAAGCACCGGCUAACUCCGUGCCAGAAGCCGCGGUUAUACGGAGGGUGCAAGCGUUUCUCGGAAUCACUGGGCGUAAAGAGUGCGCAGGCGGGCUUGUAAGUCAGAUGUGAAAUCCUGUAGCUUAACUACAGAACUGCAUUUGAAACUAGGAGUCUAGAGUGUGGGAGAGGUAGGUGGAAUUCGUGGUGUAGGGGUAAAAUCCAUAGAUAUCAAGAGGAAUACUCAUUGCGAAGGCGGCCUACUGGAACAUUACUGACGCUCAUGCACGAAAGCGUGGGGAGCAAACAGGAUUAGAUACCCUUGUAGUC
rnacentral:rRNA from 1 species